GAUGAACGCUGGCGGCGUGCUUAACACAUGCGAGUCGAACGGGAAACCUUUUAUUGAAGCUUCGGCAGAUUUAGCUGGUUUCUAGUGGCGGACGGGUGAGUAACGCGUGGGUAACCUGCCCUAUACAGGGGGAUAACAACCAGAAAUGGUUGCUAAUACCGCAUAAGCGCACAGGGCCGCAUGGUCCGGUGUGAAAAACUCCGGUGGUAUAGGAUGGACCCGCGUUGGAUUAGCCAGUUGGCAGGGUAACGGCCUACCAAAGCGACGAUCCAUAGCCGGCCUGAGAGGCUGAACCGCCACAUUGGGACUGGGACACGGCCCAGACUCCUACGGGAGGCAGCAGUGGGGAAUAUUGCACAAUGGGGGAAACCCUGAUGCAGCGACGCCGCGUGAAGGAAGAAGUAUCUCGGUAUGUAAACUUCUAUCAGCAGGGAAGAUAGUGACGGUACCUGACUAAGAAGCCCCGGCUAACUACGUG
rnacentral:rRNA from 1 species